GACGUAGGUGGCGAGCGUUAUCCGGAUUUACUGGGCGUAAAGCGCGUGCAGGUGGUUCGAUAAGUCGGGCGUGAAAUCUCCUGGCUCAACUGGGAGAGGUCGUCCGAUACUAUCGGACUUGAGGGCAGUAGAGGGAGGUGGAAUUCCGGGUGUAGUGGUGAAAUGCGUAGAUAUCCGGAGGAACACCGGUGGCGAAGGCGGCCUCCUGGACUGCCCCUGACACUCAGGCGCGAAAGCUAGGGGAGCGAACGGGAUUAGAA
rnacentral:rRNA from 1 species